GAUGAACGCUAGCUACAGGCUUAACACAUGCAAGUCGAGGGGUAACGAGAGGGAAGCUUGCUUUCCUUGUCGACGACCGGCGCACGGGUGAGUAACGCGUAUCCAACCUGCCCCCAACUAGGGAAUAACCUUGCGAAAGUAAGACUAAUACCCUAUAAUUUCCUCAGAUGUCAUCUGACGAGGAAUAAAGAUUUAUCGGUUGUGGAUGGGGAUGCGUCUGAUUAGCUUGUUGGCGGGGUAACGGCCCACCAAGGCAACGAUCAGUAGGGGUUCUGAGAGGAGGGUCCCCCACAUUGGAACUGAGACACGGUCCAAACUCGUACGGGAGGCAGCAGUGAGGAAUAUUGGUCGAUGGGCGGAAGCCUGAACCAGCCAAGUAGCGUGCAGGAUGACGGCCCUAUGGGUUGUAAACUGCUUUUAUACAGGAAUAAAGUUAGCCACGUGUGGUUAUUUGUAGGUACUGUAUGAAUAAGGACCGGCUAAUUCCGUGCCAGCCGCCGCAGUAA
rnacentral:rRNA from 1 species